rnacentral:rRNA from 1 species
AAUGGGGGAAACCCUGAUGCAGCCAUGCCGCGUGUGUGAAGAAGGCCUUCGGGUUGUAAAGCACUUUCAGUAGGGAGGAAAGGUUGUAAGUUAAUACCUUGCAGCUGUGACGUUACCUACAGAAGAAGGACCGGCUAACUCCGUGCCAGCAGCCGCGGUAAUACGGAGGGUCCAAGCGUUAAUCGGAAUUACUGGGCGUAAAGCGUGCGCAGGCGGUUUGUUAAGCGAGAUGUGAAAGCCCCGGGCUCAACCUGGGAAUUGCAUUUCGAACUGGCAAACUAGAGUCUUGUAGAGGGGGGUAGAAUUCCAGGUGUAGCGGUGAAAUGCGUAGAGAUCUGGAGGAAUACCGGUGGCGAAGGCGGCCCCCUGGACAAAGACUGACGCUCAGGCACGAAAGCGUGGGGAGCAAA